rnacentral:rRNA from 1 species
UACAGAGGUCCCAAGCGUUGUUCGGAUUCACUGGGCGUAAAGGGUGCGUAGGCGGUCGGGUAAGUCUGACGUGAAAUCUCCGGGCCUAACCCGGAAACUGCGUUGGAUACUAUCCGGCUAGAGGAAUGGAGGGGAGACUGGAAUACUUGGUGUAGCAGUGAAAUGCGUAGAUAUCAAGUGGAACACCAGUGGCGAAGGCGAGUCUCUGGACAGUUCCUGACGCUGAGGCACGAAGGUCAGGGGAGCAAACGGG